GGGGCUGACUUGGUUUCGACAUUUAAAAUUUGUUUGUAUAUGUCAGGUCGAAGUUUGUAUUCUUCGUAAAAAAUACUAAAUUAUUAAUAAAUGCUAAUAAUAUCAUCCCUUUUAAGUUUAAAACAGCGAAAAAUAAUGUACGAUUUUGUUUUGCUGUUUAAUUUAUUAAGUUAGGUUAAUAAAUAUUUUUUCAUUAUAACUAGACUUUUAUCUAGGUUAUAGUUUAGAAUAAUUUUAAGUUUUAAAAUCUGUUCAAAUUAUUAUUUGAACUAAACCUGUGAAUGAGUAUACUAAUAAAUAUUAGAUGGACAUGGGUUCAAUUCCCAUCAGCUCCA
rnacentral:tmRNA from 1 species